UACGGAGGGUCCAAGCGUUAUCCGGAAUCAUUGGGUUUAAAGGGUCCGUAGGCGGUUUUGUAAGUCAGUGGUGAAAGCCCAUCGCUCAACGGUGGAACGGCCAUUGAUACUGCAAGACUUGAAUUAUUAGGAAGUAACUAGAAUAUGUAGUGUAGCGGUGAAAUGCUUAGAGAUUACAUGGAAUACCAAUUGCGAAGGCAGGUUACUACUAAUGGAUUGACGCUGAUGGACGAAAGCGUGGGGGGCGAACAGG
rnacentral:rRNA from 1 species